UUGCACGCUGGCGGCAGGCCUAACACAUGCAAGUCGAGCGGAUGAAGGGAGCUUGCUCCUGGAUUCAGCGGCGGACGGGUGAGUAAUGCCUAGGAAUCUGCCUGGUAGUGGGGGAUAACGUCCGGAAACGGGCGCUAAUACCGCAUACGUCCUGAGGGAGAAAGUGGGGGAUCUUCGGACCUCACGCUAUCAGAUGAGCCUAGGUCGGAUUAGCUAGUUGGUGGGGUAAAGGCCUACCAAGGCGACGAUCCGUAACUGGUCUGAGAGGAUGAUCAGUCACACUGGAACUGAGACGCGGUCCAGACUCCUACGGGAGGCAGCAGUGGGGAAUAUUGGACAAUGGGCGAAAGCCUGAUCCAGCCAUGCCGCGUGUGUGAAGAAGGUCUUCGGAUUGUAAAGCACUUUAAGUUGGGAGGAAGGGCAGUAAGUUAAUACCUUGCUGUUUUGACGUUACCAACAGAAUAAGCACCGGCUAACUUCGUG
rnacentral:rRNA from 1 species